GGUUGAUCCUGCCAGUAGUCAUAUGCUUGUCUCAAAGAUUAAGCCAUGCAUGUCUAAGUAUAAACUACUUUAUACAGUGAAACUGCGAAAGGCUCAUUAAAUCAGUUAUAGUUUAUUUGAUAGUACCUUACUACUUGGAUAACCGUGGUAAUUCUAGAGCUAAUACAUGCAGCAAAACCCGACUUCUGGAAGGGUUGUAUUUAUUAGAUAAAAAACCAACCCGGGCAACCGGAUUAGUGGUGAUUCAUAGUAACUUGUCGAAUCGCAUGGCCUUGUGCUGGCGAUGGUUCAUU
rnacentral:rRNA from 1 species